rnacentral:rRNA from 1 species
CCGCACGGGUGAGUAACGCGUAUCCAACCUGCCGUCUACUCUUGGACAGCCUUCCGAAAGGAAGAUUAAUACAAGAUGGCAUCAUGAGUCCGCAUGUUCACAUGAUUAAAGGUAUUCCGGUAGACGAUGGGGAUGCGUUCCAUUAGAUAGUAGGCGGGGUAACGGCCCACCUAGUCUUCGAUGGAUAGGGGUUCUGAGAGGAAGGUCCCCCACAUUGGAACUGAGACACGGUCCAA